rnacentral:rRNA from 1 species
GGUGAACCAGCGGAGGGAUCAUUACUGAGUUUACGCUCUAUAACCCUUUGUGAACAUACCUAUAACUGUUGCUUCGGCGGGUAGGGUCUCCGCGACCCUCCCGGCCUCCCGCCUCCGGGCGGGUCGGCGCCCGCCGGAGGAUAACCAAACUCUGAUUUAACGACGUUUCUUCUGAGUGGUACAAGCAAAUAAUCAAAACUUUUAACAACGGAUCUCUUGGUUCUGGCAUCGAUGAAGAACGCAGCGAAAUGCGAUAAGUAAUGUGAAUUGCAGAAUUCAGUGAAUCAUCGAAUCUUUGAACGCACAUUGCGCCCGCCAGCAUUCUGGCGGGCAUGCCUGUUCGAGCGUCAUUUCAACCCUCAAGCUCUGCUUGGUGUUGGGGCCCUACAGCUGAUGUAGGCCCUCAAAGGUAGUGGCGGACCCUCCCGGAGCCUCCUUUGCGUAGUAACUUUACGUCUCGCACUGGGAUCCGGAGGGACUCUUGCCGUAAAACCCCCCAAUUUUCCAAAGGUUGACCUCGGAUCAGGUAGGAAUACCCGCUGAACUUAAGCAUAUCAAU